rnacentral:rRNA from 1 species
UACGUAGGGUGCGAGCGUUGUCCGGAAUUAUUGGGCGUAAAGAGCUCGUAGGCGGUCUGUCGCGUCGGUCGUGAAAACCCGGGGCUCAACUUCGGGCUUGCGGUCGAUACGGGCGGGCUAGAGUUCGGUAGGGGAGACUGGAAUUCCUGGUGUAGCGGUGAAAUGCGCAGAUAUCAGGAGGAACACCGGUGGCGAAGGCGGGUCUCUGGGCCGAUACUGACGCUGAGGAGCGAAAGCGUGGGGAGCGAACAGG